GUACUGGUUAACAGUUUUGCCCCAAUUAAGUUUCUGAAAAGCACUUAAAUUAACAGUUACCAAGAAGACAACUGUCAAUAGAAGAGUUUGAGAAAUAUGAGACGUAGCCUAAUUUGUGAAGGAAACAGAGAAAAAUCAGAUUCUCUGUCUCACCACAGGAGGGCAGGAAUCGCUUGAGUACUGGAGAGACUGCGACACUGUCAUACUGACUGCAUGCAUAUUGAUAAUUCUACAGCUAACACUGGAUCCGAUCUGCUCAGUCCACAGUCACCACAGUAAACAGGUCUCUGAGAGAAAGGAUGAAGACCUAAAGGGGGAAGGGAAGGAAUGAGGAGAUGAAAACAGACAUCUUCUGAAAGAUUUGAGAUGAUCUGAUUCUGGGUCUGUCCUGAACUAGGCUCGGCAGCGCCUCCUCUCUGCAGUGCCUCUGUGGAAGUGUGUCACGAGCAGACGAACCUGUGAAGCUGUACCGCAGUACCACUGAGAGUGUUAUUGCCGGUGACAGUGCACUCCAUUGUAGAGUACCGCAUCCACAACGGGAUCGAAACCACCUCCUAACAUUCAUUCCCAAAUCUGAACGACCAUAUGGAGCCCAAACCGUCCACCCUGAAGACUCUUUCUAUUUUUAGAACGAUUGUCUUCCUUCUGUUGGGGUCAAGGUCGGUUAAGGGGGAAGGUCAAUAGCAGCAACGCGUUGGCCGGCUGGCGCACGUAGACGUUACAGCCGGUGACCCCGCUGAAAACACACGCAGAUGCACGGAGAACUGCCACGCUUAUGUUGAUCUGCAUACCAAAUGUAAUACCACCCCAAAAUUCAGAUUCGACCCCCCACACAUGAACUCUGACCUCCCCUACAUAAUUAGAGAGCGCGAGUGAGCGGAGCGGCUCUAUUUGUCUCAUUUUGUGGGUAAUGUGGUGAUGGAGGGGAGAAGUGGGGGAGGGAUGUUGGUCCCCACCUGACUCAACCCUCCUCCACAUCACUCCCUCGGACUCCUCCUCAGGGGGAAGAGGAUUUAUUGUGCACGCGCUAGAGUGUGUGUGUUUGUGUGUGUGUGUGUGUGUGUGUGUGUGUGUGUGAGGGAGAAAGGCACGUGCCAAGUGUCUGGUGCUGAAUCAUACCUACCCCCCCCCCCCAACCUCGAGGCCACAUUGAAUUUACACACAACACACUCAUAUGAACACACACAGUGUAGUUUCACUGCAUACACACUUAUUAACACUAAGACACUCAGACUGAAAGUGUUUUAACAAUUCUCUCAUCUUUAGAUAAAGUAUGUUGUGGUGUCCAGUAAAGACAGUUCAGUGCAGUUCAUAUUGGAUUGAACUGUAUAAAUGUGGCCUGGAUUUGUUGACAGAAACAUUCUUGCAAAAUAAAUAAAUAAAAUCGAAAAAUAAAGCACACUCCUUUCGAUAUAGUGUUGCACAGCAUCAUGGUCCACAAGCAGUAUAGCCAGUAGUCAUGGAAACAAGAAGAUAUAUGUAGGUUUAGCUCCUCAUGAAAAAAGUAUUUUUAAUUCUCAAAAGUCAUAAAUAUUACGUAAUAUAGCAUUGUAUAAUAUUAUUAGUAUUAAAAUACACAAUAACAAUAUUAUAUAGC